GAUGACAGAUAAAAUGACAGGGAUGAAGAUGAUGCAUAGUUCAGAUCUAAGCAGUCCUUCUUCUCUGGGAUAGUCCCAUGUGAAGUGAUUACCUGAUGAAGGAUAGCUGUCUCUCCCUCAGUGGCUUUAUACGUAAUGUUCAAUACUUACUGUGAAAUCUGACUUGGGAGCAGGAAUGAAAUCAACUUCUGUAAGAUGCUGAAGGCCACCAAAGUUGCUGAAUUUUUCAUGUUUCCUCCACUUUGCUCGCUGAUUCUGGAACCAGAUCUGGAUAGAGUUUUGCAAAAAAUCAGUGUUUGGCUGACGGGUUGUCCUGUUUACCCUUUAAGUACUGACACAACAUUACAUUUCUUCAAGGCCCUUGGAAUGUCCCUUGUGCUCCAGGACUGAUUUAAUGUUAACACUGAUGAUCCAAAGUGCUUCUCAAGCAGCUUCUUAAGAAAUACUGGAGGGUAGAAGACUGGCUCUACAAACCUGGGAGAAGCUGCAGUCUAUCUCCAGCAUUUCCAGAAUGAAGCAAGAAAUCCAAGCUCAAACUGUGACCAAGCUCCUUGUCCCUGUGGUCCCAAGCAUACAAAAAUGUCUGGGAUGCUGGCAGGGUUCUUGUCCUGCCAGGUUUUCUAUGCCCAGGCAGCCUGUGUACCUUCUAGCAACCGGAAAGCCUUUGGAAGAAAGAGAACAAACCUGCCUACAUCCUGGAAGUUUCUGAAUUAAAAAAAAAUUACCCCCCUCACUAGAUUAAUGAACUGGAUUAUAAUUUCAUGACUCUGCAAAGCAAGAAAGAAACUGUCUACAUUUUAAACCCUAAGAUGUCACAUCAAAUAAUAAUA